rnacentral:rRNA from 1 species
AACGAACGCUGGCGGCAUGCCUAACACAUGCAAGUCGAACGAAGGCUUCGGCCUUAGUGGCGCACGGGUGCGUAACGCGUGGGAAUCUGCCCCUCGGUUCGGAAUAACAGUUAGAAAUGACUGCUAAUACCGGAUGAUGACUUCGGUCCAAAGAUUUAUCGCCGAGGGAUGAGCCCGCGUAAGAUUAGGUAGUUGGUGGGGUAAAGGCCUACCAAGCCGACGAUCUUUAGCUGGUCUGAGAGGAUGAUCAGCCACACUGGGACUGAGACACGGCCCAGACUCCUACGGGAGGCAGCAGUGGGGAAUAUUGGACAAUGGGCGAAAGCCUGAUCCAGCAAUGCCGCGUGAGUGAUGAAGGCCUUAGGGUUGUAAGGCUCCUUUACCAGGGAUGAUAAUGACAGUACCUGGAGAAUAAGCUCCGGCUAACUCCGUGCCAGCAGCCGCGGUAA